UGGCUCAGGAUGAACGCUAGCGGCGCGCUUAAUGCAUGCAAGUCGAGCGAUGAGGCCUCUUCGGGGGGUCAUCAGCGGCAGACGGGUGAGUAACACGUAGGUGAUCUACCCCAGAGACGGGGAUAACGGGUGGAAACAUCCGCUAAUACCGGAUAGGCUUGUUCGGUCAAAGGGACAAGGAAAGGCUCCGGCGCUCUGGGAGGAGCCUGCGGCCCAUCAGCUAGUUGGCGGGGUAACGGCCCACCAAGGCAAAGACGGGUAGGGGGUGUGAGAGCAUGGCCCCCCACAAUGGGACUGGAACACGGCCCAUACUCCUACGGGAGGCAGCAGCAGGGAAUAUUGCACAAUGGACGGAAGUCUGAUGCAGCGACGCCGCGUGGAUGAAGAAGGCCCUCGGGUUGUAAAAUCCUUUACAGGGGGAAGAGGAAGGACGGUACCCCUGGAACAAGUGUCGGCUAACUACGUGCCAGCAGCCGCGGUAAGACGUAGGACACAAGCGUUAUCCGGAUUUACUGGGCGUAAAGCGUCUGCAGGCGGACAGGUAAGUUGGGCGUGAAAGCUCCGGGCCCAACCCGGAGAGGUCGUUCAAUACUGCGUGUCUAGAGGGUGUCAGAGGGGAGUGGAAUUUCCGGAGUAGCGGUAAAAUGCGCAGAGAUCGGAAAGAACACCAAUGGCGAAGGCAGCUCCCUGGGGCAACCCUGACGCUAAGAGACGAAAGCUAGGGGAGCGAACAGGAUUAGAGACCCUGGUAGUCCUAGCCCUAAACGAUGGAUGCUGGAUGUGGGGCCAUAGCGCUCCGUGUCGAAGCGAACGCGUUAAGCAUCCCGCCUGGGGAC
rnacentral:rRNA from 1 species